rnacentral:rRNA from 1 species
UACGGAGGAUCCGAGCGUUAUCCGGAUUUAUUGGGUUUAAAGGGAGCGUAGGUGGAUUGUUAAGUCAGUUGUGAAAGUUUGCGGCUCAACCGCAAAAUUGCAGUUGAAACUGGCAGUCUUGAGUACAGUAGAGGUGGGCGGAAUUCGUGGUGUAGCGGUGAAAUGCUUAGAUAUCACGAAGAACUCCGAUUGCGAAGGCAGCUCACUGGACUGCAACUGACACUGAGGCUCGAAAGCGUGGGGAGCAAACAGG